GACGGAGGAUGCAAGUGUUAUCCGGAAUCACUGGGCGUAAAGCGUCUGUAGGUGGUUUCAAAAGUCCACUGUUAAAGAUUGAAGCUUAACUUCAAAAAUGCCGUGGAAACUUUGAAACUUGAGUAUGAUAGGGGUAGAGGGAAUUUCCAGUGGAGCGGUGAAAUGCGUAGAUAUUGGAAAAGACCACCAAUGGCGAAGGCACUCUAACUGGGCCAUUACUGACACUGAGAGACGAAAGCUAGGGGAGCAAAUGGG
rnacentral:rRNA from 1 species